rnacentral:siRNA from 1 species
GAGACUUUACACGGCCUGCCACA